UCGGUAGACGCUACGGACUUAAUUGGAUUGAGCCUUGGUAUGGAAACCCACUAAGUGAUAACUUUCAAAUUCAGAGAAACCCCGGAAUUAAUAAAAAGGGGCAAUCCUGAGCCAAAUCCUGUUUUCCGAAACCAAAGGUUCAGAAAGUGAAAAAAGGAUAGGUGCAGAGACUCAACGGAAGCUGUUCUAACAAAUGGAGUUGGCUGCGUUAGUAGAGAAAUCUUUCCAUCGAAAAUUCAGAAAGGAUAAAGUGAAGGAUAAACGUAUAUACAUACGAUACGUAUUGAAUACUAUAUCAAAUGAUUAAUGACAACCCGACUGAAUCUGUAUUUUUUUAUAUGAAAAACGGAAGAAUUGGUGUGAAUAGAUUCCACAUUGAAGAAAGAAUCGUAUAUUCAUUGAUCAAAUGAUUAACUCCAUAGUCUGAUAGAUCUUUUCAAGAACUGAUUAAUCGGACGAGAAUAAAGAUAGAGUCCCGUUCUACAUGUCAAUGUCGGCAACAAUGAAAUUUAGAGUAAGAGGAAAAUCCGUCGACUUUAAAAAUCGUGAGGGUUCAAGUCCCUCUAUCCCCAAAAAGCAUAUUUGACUCCCCAACUAUUUAUCCUAUCCCUCUUUUCGUUAGCGGUUCAAAAUCCCUUAUUCAUUCACUCUAUUCUCGUAGAAAUCGAUCUGGACGGAAAUGCCCUUUUCUUAUCACAAGUCUUGUGUUAUAUAUGAUAUACAUACAUACAAAUGAACAUCUUUGAGCAAGAAAUCCCCAUUUGAAUGAUUUACAAUCGAUAUAACUACUCAUACUGAAACUUACAAAGUACUCUUUUUUAAGAUCCAAGAAAUUCCACUACCUAGAUAAAACUUUGUAAUCCACUUUCCUUCUUUUAAUUGACAUAGACCCCAUUUUCUAAUAGAAUGAGGAUGCUACAUUGGGAUUGGUCGGGAUAGCUCAGCUGGUAGAGCAGAGGACUGAAAAUCCUCGUGUCACCAGUUC
rnacentral:misc_RNA from 1 species